rnacentral:rRNA from 1 species
UCCUGUGUUCACGCCCCAGUGGAGCCAGGUCCAUGGUCUAAGCCUGAUGUCUGAUCUCGGAAGCUAAGCAAGGUCAGUCCUGGUUAGUACUUGGAUGGGAGACCAUCUAGGAAGACCAGGUGCUAUAGACA